GUAGGUGCCCAAGGUCUGAGAGAGUACGUGGUGGACGUUCAGGGCCUGCUGUUGCAGGCCAGGUCCCCAUUUGAUGGAGAGCUACCAAUAGGCCUGUGGCCCAAAGAACCCGAAGUUGAGCUGCUGGAUCUCCAUCUCUGUGCAGCCUCCCUUAUCUGCCUGCCUCACUCUGCUGCUAAUGUGCAGUAAUAGACUGCCUUUCAUGAGACAAGAGACGACGGAGUUGACUUGAAGGAUGUGACAUAGAGUUUUCUUCCUGCCGGAAACAACCUUCACCUCAGAGGAAACAAUGGACUUCACAACGCCUGAAAUUUUAGACUGGAAGUUUUUGGAUUCAGGUGGAGGAAGAACCACUCUUCAGACAGGAGAAAGGAAAUAAGCGCACUACAAUUUAGAGGAGGAGUCUGGAUUAAAGUCAAGAUGAUGUGGAGAACGAAUGAGGCCCUGCAGGAAAAGUUUCAGUGAAGUGAAAUGGGAAAAAAAAAUUACUUCUCGGAGUAGUUUUAUUGCACCAUAAUUUUUACUUAACUUGUAAUAUUAUUUUGAGGUAACAUGAAUCAUCCUUGAGUACAAUUUCUCGCUACGCAUCUAGAGUUACUUCACUUAAGAAAGAAUGAAUGCAUUUUAGCCA